GAGCAAGGUUCCCCUCGGAUGGAGGUGGUUCCUUCGGCUGCUACACAGCUGCACCUGAGGCGUCCGCCAGGGCAGCAAUCGAGGCUCACGCAGGAGAAAACGGGAUCCAGAGAAUGAUUCCCAAAACUGCUUAUCUGUGGGUCAUAGAAAGACAAGAUGGAUUUUACUGCAAAAAGGUUGUUGCCUGGUUCAGUUCCAAGUCUGGAAUGCAUGAAGGAAAAAGAAACCAGGAGAAUUCACCAACAUGUUGAUCCUUGUAUCCCAAGGUCUCUGCUGUGCUUGCCCCAUACAAGAAAGGCAAUGAAAAUAUUUUGAGAGGUUAAAGGUAUGACAGAUUCAGAAUUCUACAUUCCAAGGUAAAAAGCAAUUCCUUUUCUUCUGCCCUCCAAACUUCUUAAUGAGAGGCUAAUAGGAUCAAGAAGGAUUUGAUAAAACUGAAACAAAUCCCAUGAGACUGAGAUUUGUCUGCUUCUCCCUCCUCUGCUUCUCCUUGAUCUGCAAACAUUCCACACAGAAGGGCAGCAGCUAAGUCACAUCUUCCUCUUGCUCAGAUUCAGCCCUCCCCCUCUUUUUCUGAGGUCUUCCGUCAUUUAGGAAAUUAACUGAAAUAAUGAAACAUUCCCUGUGAAUAGUCCUGUAAAUGCUACUAGUCUAGUCAUUUAGAGCAAUAGCUCUUCAUCUCUGUAGGGGAAACAAGAAGUGAGUGGAGAGGGGUUUGAGGAGACAAUAAAAAUGACCAGCUAAAUCUCAGAUUUUUUUUUUAAAUUACCAAAAAGAAAAGAAAAGAAAGAUUAACUGUUUUCUCAAUGGUGGAGCCUUCCAGGAGACCAAAUAAGUCUUCUAUAAACUGAUUUGCCUUCCUGACUGUGAUUUACCAGACUGACACCUAAUUUGUUCUGAGCACAGUUGAUGCCUCAGACACAAUGGCGGAUGACAGCCCACAUAACCUCUCUUUCAGCUUUCAUCUCAUAUAUUCCAUUUGAAGUUGAGUUCCGACAAGAGAGAGGCACAGAAUUAAUAUUACCUUGGAUCAGCUCAGUCUCCAGAGGGAGCAGCAAAAGCUUUUCUGGAAACAAUAAACCCUUUAAACAUGACAGGGGGAAUGGGACCUUAGGAGGUCUCUGAAAGUAUCCAUUAUUAAAGAAAAGAGGGGGGGGGAUCCUCGUGGACGACUUUGAUUUUUUUUUUCACAGCAAAAGCAGUGAUGAACUGGUGCCAGUUUUACAUACAAAUUUAAAGAUCUGGGAUGGUUUAUGCUAAAAAUCUCUCUUUCCCCUGUCCCUUAACACAAGCAGUAGGGAGAAAGAAUUCAUUAUGAAUCAGGUUUGUUAUGACAUUGAUACUCCCUUCUUGUUUAAUCUUCACUAAAAUAAAAUAAAAAUAAAAAUCGAUAACAACUUCAGCAAUAAAAUUCAGAGGUAAAAUACAUUAUACAUGAUCACAUAUAUAGAGUCAAAUUUAAUUAUCCAAAUGUACACAUAAGGAGUAUGUAUGAGUCUCAAGAAACAGAGAUUUUAAUUGAAAGUUAACCAUGUGAAUUUCCAUGAGAUUCAAACAGGAAAAAAAAUCACAUACAUAUGCAUAUAUACAUAUGUGUGUAUUAAUGGAUUUAUAGUUUAGAGUAGUGUGAUAGUUCAUUACAAUUAAAAAUAAGUGUAUUUACUCGGCACUUAGUACAGAUGGUCUGAUAUUUUUCAAAACAUUUUUUGUUUAGUAAUUUGUAAUAGCUUCUCUAUGAUAUUUAAGGAAAUAAAAGAGGUAGCUUCAGUAUAAUAUUGUUGAACCUGGAGCCAAAAAUCCUACUUGUGCAAAUUUUCUGGGCAACAAUAGCAUUGUCUAUAAAAUGGAUAUAAUAAUAUUUAUCUCAAAACAUCUUAGGAGAAUCAAGGGAGUCAUUUAUAGGAGUUGUUAUAGAUAACUAGUGCUGAGGCACACUGGAACUCAGAUUUAGGAUGAUGGGUACAUGGGGCUGAGCAUGGGCUUGGUUGGGCUAAGAGGCAGAAUGAAAAGGUCUUGAAGUCCAGCUUCCACAUGGUGCUUAUCAGUGCUAUAAGAAGAAGGGCCAGUGUUGGUGUCUCACUAGAGCUGGGGAAACUGAGUAUUUUAAUUAUCUAUUGCAGUAUAACACUUUACCUCAAAAUGUUAUGACUUAGAUACACAGGCAUUUAUUAUCUUACAAUUUCUGUGGGUCAAGAAUCCAAGCAAAAUAUAACUGCAAGCCUCUGACUCAGGAUCUUUCACAGGCUGUAGUCAAGGUAAUGGCCAGGACUACUCUCAUCUCAAGGCUGGACUGGAAAGGAUAUGCCUCCAAGCUCUGUCACUUGGAUGGUGGCAGGCCUCAGAACAUCUUCGUCCAAGCUCAUUUGGCUAACUGUGGAUAAGCCUCAAUAGACAUAAUUUCCUGCCUACACACAACAUGGAAGCUUGCUUCUCCAAGAGUGGUGGCUCAGAGAAGUCAGUCUGUUUGUAACUUAAUCUUCAAAUUGAUAUCCAUUACUUCUUAUGUAGUCAGUUUGUUAUUCAUUAGGUCCAGCCUACACUCAAGGGAAGAAGGUUACAGAGGACCAAAAACAAACAAACAAACAAACAAACCAACCAAAAAACAAAAAGAGGGGCAAGGGUCCAUGGGGCCAUUUAAAGGCUGCUUACUACACUGGGUAACAAUCAGAGGCUUGGAAGAACCUGAUGGAGAGCACUCUGGAAACUCCUGAAAAGGUCAACUCUCAAAGAACAGGAAAGUAAAUCAUAUAAGUUCAGGGGUUAGGACUUAAGUUCCCUGCCAUCAUGGCCCACAAAGGAAGGGAGAUGUUUUAAGCACUUGGAAGUCAGAAGGAGCUUUUAAUGAUUUUAACAUUUUCCAGCCUCCCUUUGUUACUAGAAGACUUGUUAUUUUUGAGAAUCUUAUUUAACUCAGUUUUAAAAAUUAGAUAAUGGAGAUAUGAAUUCCCUAGUUGAAAGCUGAGGAGAAAGUCUGUGGUAUGUCCAAAUAGUUUGAUACAACGCUAGACAGUGGGUUAAGCUAGGUCUGGAACCCAAGUGUCAGUGGGUUAAGCUAGGUCUGGAACCCACAUGAUUGCUAGCCUGCUUCCUUUUAAGGUUGCCACACCCUCCUUAAUGUGAAAGACACAUGACCAUGCAGAGCAGACCAUUCCAUGGCAUAAACAUCUGUACUGGUGCUUGGGGUUUAUUCAUCAGGCACAGGGGAUCCUGGCAGAGAUGUUUUUAACAUCUCACUAUGGAACCCAUGAGACAGGUCAUUCAAUACAGAGUUGCUCAAGAAGUGCUUUGCAAUUUACCCUCACUUACUGGGUGCAAGGAACUGGAAUACAACUGAAUUCAGUCAAGUGCUCAAAUACUGCACCCCGAGAAUUUUUCUUUGAGGAGAAAGAAGCUGAUUACAGUAAAAUGAGCUGAUGUUGGCAAUUUUUCUCAAAAAAACACUUCCUGGCUAUGACCUGAGGUUGGGACAUACUAACUGAAUUUCUUACACACUUAAUUGAUGUCCCUGAGGGAUCACAAACUUACUCAUUUAUUCAAGGAAGAUUCAGUGAUAUUAACCAGAUAGGAAUUAAUGAGGCAAGAACAUAGAACCACACAUUUGAGAAAGUUUUCCACAGCCAAAUGGGAUUCAAGGUAAUUGGGGUCUGGGGGUAGACCUGUUUCCCAGACUAAAGUAAAAUAAGAUGAAAUCACCAGAGACUACCAUAAAGGAUGACCUAUAUGUGAAGAGCCAAUCUCUUAAAUAUAUUUAGUAGUUUUAAUUUCUUCAGGUUAAAAGUAAUACCAUUAAGGAUCUAAAAUUCAGUUAAAUUAAACUAACUGUAGUUUAUUUUGUUAAGCCAUGCCUUAUUUUUUACAAAAUAUUUUUAUAUACAUUAUAUCCAGCUAACUUCGGACAUAGGCAUUUGCCCAUUACAAAAGCUUAUUCGAACUUUUCCCAGGUGAACAACUUUGUCUAGAUUUCUCUUGCUCAUUACCAUACUACCUAACCAUACUUCUCCUGACACACACAUACACACAUGCUCUUCCCCUGGGCAACUCCUGCUUCCACUUCAGAUCUCAGCUUAGCCCUUACUUCCUCUAUAGUCAUUCACAUCCUGAACUGAACCUUAGAAUCAACUUCAACUGGAAAGGCCAUCCCCAGACCAAUUAUGUCAGGAUCACUUGGAAAAGAGCCAAGCACCCAUAUAUUUUUAAAGUUCCCCAGGAGAUUUCAAUGUACAUUCAAGGUUGAAAACCACUGCUUCAGAUCUAUAAAUCUGAGUAAUAAACUAGAAUUGAAAGGUUUUGCAUUGGAGCAGGCCUGGUUUUAGUCAGACCCAGGCAAACCAGAACUUAAAUGUAUUCUAUCUUGUGAAGUUCCCAGAUCCAUUUCCCUGGACUGUGAGUAGCUAUUGAACAAGGACUACUAUAUGCCUUUUGUUUUUAUUAUUUUUAAAAAAAUUUUUUUUUUCAAUGUUUAUUUAUUUUUGG